GCUUCAGAGGACCUACUAGCAGAAAAAGCAUUGGUGCAAAGAUAUCUUGAGAAGAAGAAAGACAGGUUUAAGAACAAGAGAAAGUUGGCAACUUCUUCAUCUCCUACCUUUGACAUCUACUUAAAUCAAUUGGGAGAUCAGUUUUCAAGUGAGCAGUUGAAACAAAGUGAACCAUGCUUUUCUCCCCAUGCGGAAGCACCUCACACUCCUCUUGAGUGCGGCUCCAUUGAAAAUGUUGCAAAGGUUGCUGGACUUCUUACUCCUGAUGGAAAAGGUGACGGUGAAUUAUCUCAUAUGCAUUCAAAAUAUGAGGUUUGAUCAGAGCCAUGAAUUGGCGGGUAAAGGGCUAGGCAUGGAGACGUAAGAGUUUGUAACAUUAUAGUUAACUUGUUUGAUCGGUUGCGGCCAUUAUUAUUACUUAGCUAAAUGAGGAAUCUAGUUUAGUCAGUGUUGCUGUCUGCUUUUAUGAUCAUGUGGUAGCUGAAAGAGAAACAAGUAGGUGUCCCACGGUCAUUUUAAAGCAUAUCCGGGGUUUUCAAGUCGUUUAACAAUCCUCCUUACGAAAUUGGAAACAAACGAGCCGUUUUAUGUUCA